rnacentral:rRNA from 1 species
GAGUUUGAUCAUGGCUCAGGAUGAACGCUAGCGACAGGCUUAACACAUGCAAGUCGAGGGGCAGCGGGGCGGCAGGCUUGCCUGCCGUUGCCGGCGACCGGCGCACGGGUGAGUAACACGUAUGCAACCUGCCCGUGGCAGGGGGAUAAGCGGGGGAAACCCCGUCUAAUACCGCGUAACGCGGCCUAGGGACAUCCCAAGGCCGCCAAAGGGAGCAAUCCCGGCCACGGAUGGGCAUGCGGCGCAUUAGCUAGUCGGCGGGGUAACGGCCCACCGAGGCGACGAUGCGUAGGGGUUCUGAGAGGAAGGCCCCCCACACUGGUACUGAGACACGGACCAGACUCCUACGGGAGGCAGCAGUGAGGAAUAUUGGUCAAUGGGCGCGAGCCUGAACCAGCCAAGUCGCGUGAGGGAGGACGGCCCUACGGGUUGUAAACCUCUUUUGCCGGGGAGCAACGGGCGCCACGUGUGGCGUCACUGAGAGUACCCGGAGAAAAAGCAUCGGCUAACUCCGUGCCAGCAGCCGCGGUAAUACGGAGGAUGCGAGCGUUAUCCGGAUUUAUUGGGUUUAAAGGGUGCGUAGGCGGAUCGUUAAGUCAGUGGUCAAAUUGAGGGGCUCAACCCCUUCCCGCCAUUGAAACUGGCGCUCUUGAGUGGAAGAGAAGUAUGCGGAAUGCGUGGUGUAGCGGUGAAAUGCAUAGAUAUCACGCAGAACCCCGAUUGCGAAGGCAGCAUGCCGGCUUCCGACUGACGCUGAAGCACGAAAGCGUGGGGAUCGAACAGGAUUAGAUACCCUGGUAGUCCACGCGGUAAACGAUGAGCGCUAGGUGUCCGGGGGGAAUGGCCCCUGGGUGCCACAGCGAAAGCGUUAAGCGCUCCACCUGGGGAGUACGCCGGCAACGGUGAAACUCAAAGGAAUUGACGG